rnacentral:rRNA from 1 species
UCUGGGAUAAGCGCUAGAAAUGGCGUCUAAUACCGGAUACGAGCUUCAGCCGCAUGCGUAGGAGUUGGAAAGAAUUUUGGUCAANRAUNGACUCGCGGCCUAUCAGCUAGUUGGUGAGGUAAUGGCUCACCAAGGCGACGACGGGUAGCCGGCCUGAGAGGGUGACCGGCCACNYUGGGACUGAGACACGGCCCAGACUCYUACGGGAGGCAGCAGUGGGGAAUAUUGCACAAUGGGCGAAAGCUGAUGCAGCAACGCCGCGUGAGGGAUGACGGCCUUCGGGUUGUAAACCUCUUUUAGUAGGGAAGAAGCGAAAGUDACGGUACCUGCAGAAAAAGCACCGGCUAACUACGUGCCAGCAGCCGCGGUAAUACGUAGGGUGCAAGCNUUGUCCGGAAUUAUUGGGCGUAAAGAGCUCGUAGGCGGUUUGUCGCGUCUGCUGUGAAAUCUGGGGGCUCAACCCCCAGCCUGCAGUGGGUACGGGCAGACUAGAGUGCGGUAGGGGAGAUUGGAAUUCCUGGUGUAGCGGUGGAAUGCGCAGAUAUCAGGAGGAACACCGAUGGCGAAGGCAGAUCUCUGGGCCGUAACUGACGCUGAGGAGCGAAGACAUGGGGAGCGAACAGGAUUAGAUACCCUGGUAGUCCAUGCCGUAAACGUUGGGAACUAGAUGUGGGGGCCAUUCCACGGUCUCCGUGUCGCAGCUAACGCAUUAAGUUCCCCGCCUGGGGAGUACGGCCGCAAGCUAAAAACUCAAAGGAAUUGACGGGGGCCCGCACAAGCGGCGGACAUGCGGAUUAAUUCGAUGCAACGCGAAGAACCUUACCAAGGCUUGACAUAUACCGGAAACGUCCAGAGAUGGUCGCCCCGCAAGGUCGGUAUACAGGUGGUGCAUGGUUGUCGUCAGCUCGUGUCGUGAGAUGUUGGGUUAAGUCCCGCAACGAGCGCAACCCUCGUUCUAUGUUGCCAGCACGUUAUGGUGGGAACUCAUAGGAGACUGCCGGGGUCAACUCGGAGGAAGGUGGGGAUGACGUCAAAUCAUCAUGCCCCUUAUGUCUUGGGCUUCACGCAUGCUACAAUGGCCGGUACAAAGGGCUGCGAUACCGUAAGGUGGAGCGAAUCCCAAAAAGCCGGUCUCAGUUCGGAUUGAGGUCUGCAACUCGACCUCAUGAAGUCGGAGUCGCUAGUAAUCGCAGAUCAGCAACGCUGCGGUGAAUACGUUCCCGGGCCUUGUACACACCGCCCGUCAAGUCAUGAAAGUCGNNAACACCCGAAGCCAGUGGCCUAACCCUUGUGGAUGGAGCUGUCGAAGGUGGGAUCGGUGAUUAGGACUAAG